GACAGAGGGUGCAAACGUUGUUCGGAAUUACUGGGCGUAAAGGGCUCGUAGGCGGCCAACUAAGUCAGACGUGAAAUCCCUCGGCUUAACCGGGGAACUGCGUCUGAUACUGGAUGGCUUGAGUUCGGGAGAGGGAUGUGGAAUUCCAGGUGUAGCGGUGAAAUGCGUAGAUAUCUGGAGGAACACCGGUGGCGAAGGCGGCAUCCUGGACCGACACUGACGCUGAUGAGCGAAAGCCAGGGGAGCAAACGGG
rnacentral:rRNA from 1 species